ACUACGGGAGGCAGCAGUGAGGAAUAUUGGUCAAUGGCCGGAAGGCUGAACCAGCCAAGCCGCGUGAAGGACGAAGGUGCCAAGCAUUGUAAACUUCUUUUGUCAAGGGACAAAAUCAGGCUCGAGAGCCUGACCGAGGGUACUUGAAGAAAAAGCAUCGGCUAACUCCGUGCCAGCAGCCGCGGUAAUACGGGGGAUGCGAGCGUUAUCCGGAUUUAUUGGGUUUAAAGGGUGCGUAGGCGGCCUGUUAAGUCAGCUGGAAAAACCCGGGGCUCAACCCCGGCGAGCCGUAGAUACUGGCUGUCUUGAGAUGUCGAGAGGUAUGCGGAAUGCGCAGUGUAGCGGUGAAAUGCGUAGAUAUUGCGCAGAACUCCGAUUGCGAAGGCAGCAUACCGGCGGCGAUCUGACGCUGAGGCACGAAAGCGUGGGUAUCGAACAGGAUUAGAUACCCGAGUAGUC
rnacentral:rRNA from 1 species